GAUGAACGCUGGCGGCGUGCCUAAUACAUGCAAGUCGAGCGAACGGACUAGCAUCUUUCUUCUCUGAUUUUAUCGGCAGACGGUUGAUAAACCCGUGGUAACCCUCCCUCUAAGACUGGGAUACCUCCGGGAAACCGGACCUAUACCCGGAUAACCUUUUGAACCGCAUGGUUCAAAAGUGAAAGACGUUCUUUCUGGCACUUAUAGAUGGAUCUGCGCUCCAUUAGCUAGUUGGUGUGGUAACGGCUUACCAAGGCAACGGUGGAUAGCCGGCCGGCGAGGGUGAUCGGCCACACUGGCACUGAGACAGAGUCCGGACUCCUACGGGAGGCAGCAGUAGGUAGUGGGCAGCGAUGAGCGAGAGGAUGACGGAGCAAGGGCGCGUGAGUGAGGAAGGUCUGCGGUUGGUAAGACUAUGUUAUUAGGGAAGAGCGUAUGUGUAAGUAGCUGUGGAGAUCUUGACGGUACCUGGGCAGAAAGCCACGGCUAACUACGUG
rnacentral:rRNA from 1 species